ACUCAAAUGAAUUGACGGGGGCCCGCACAAGCAGCGGAGCGUGUGGUUUAAUUCGAUGCAACGCGCAGAACCUUACCGGGGCUUGACAUGCCCGUGGUACCGGCCGGAAACGGGCGGGACCCGCAAGGGAGCGGGCACAGAUGCUGCAUGGCUGUCGUCAGCUCGUGCCGUGAGGUGUUGGGUUAAGUCCCGCAACGAGCGCAACCCCCGCCCCUAGUUGCCCUCCUCUAGGGGGACCGCCGGUACAAACCGGAGGAAGGUGGGGAUGACGUCAAGUCAGCACGGCUCUGACGCCCCGGGCUACACACACGCUACAAUGGCCGGUACAACGGGCGGCGAAGGCGCCAGCCGGAGCCAAUCCUCCAAAGCCGGCCUCAGUUCGGAUCGCAGGCUGCAACUCGCCUGCGUGAAGGCGGAGUUGCUAGUAACCGCCGGUCAGCACACGGCGGUGAAUACGUUCCCGGGCCUUGUACACACCGCCCGU
rnacentral:rRNA from 1 species